rnacentral:tRNA from 1 species
GGAAGUGCUUGCUCCACUGGUGUGGGCCGCGGUCUUCAAAACCGUUGGGACCUAAGUUAACCUUGGGUUCGGUGGGUUCGAUUCCCAUGCACUUCCGC